rnacentral:tRNA from 1 species
AGGCCUGUAGCUCAAAGGAUUAGAGCACAUGGCUAUGAACCACGGUGUCAGGGGUUUGAAUCUCUUUAGUUCUC